rnacentral:tRNA from 1 species
GUGGGUUUGGCUCAGUGGUAGAGCGCUUGCUUCGCACGUGUGAGGUCCUGGAUUCAAUCCCCAGUACCUCCA